AAGGAUGCAGCAGGGUAUUUUCAGAAAUCAACUAAUGUUCAUUUUCAUAUUAGUUGAUAAACAUUUUUAAUCAUUUUCAAUUUUUAAUUUUCAGAAAUCAAUCAACUGAAGAUGAGCCAUGGAUCAGCCUACACAACAAGUGAAGGCUAUAGCAGAGGAUGAGCCUCCAGCAGAGGAAGAGCCUCCAAAAGAGGAUGAGCCUCCAGCAGCAGUUGAAGAAACACAUUCAUACAUAAUGCAAAAGAAAAAAUUAAAAGUGUCAACUCAAGGAAUAC